rnacentral:rRNA from 1 species
GAUGAACGCUGGCGGCGUGCCUAAUACAUGCAAGUCGAGCGAACAGACGAGGAGCUUGCUCCUCUGACGUUAGCGGCGGACGGGUGAGUAACACGUGGAUAACCUACCUAUAAAACUGGGAUAACUUCGGGAAACCGGAGCUAAUACCGGAUAAUAUAUUGAACCGCAUGGUUCAAUAGUGAAAGACGGUUUUGCUGUCACUUAUAGAUGGAUCCGCGCCGCAUUAGCUAGUUGGUAAGGUAACGGCUUACCAAGGCAACGAUGCGUAGCCGACCUGAGAGGGUGAUCGGCCACACUGGAACUGAGACACGGUCCAGACUCCGACGGGAGGCAGCAGUAGGGAAUCGUCCGCAAUGGGCGAAAGCCUGACGGAGCAACGCCGCGUGAGUGAUGAAGGUCUUCGGAUCGUAAAACUCUGUUAUUAGGGAAGAACAAAUGUGUAAGUAACUAUGCACGUCUUGACGGUACCUAAUCAGAAAGCCACGGCUAACUACGUG